UAGACUGACAGCAAAGGUUGUGAUUUUCAAUGCGGACACGAAAAGACAAUUACUGCUUUGCUGACAAUGCUUUCCGGCGCGAAUCUGAUUUAUGGCGCAG
rnacentral:ncRNA from 1 species